UAACGAAUAUUGGGCAAUGCACGCAAGUGUGACCCAGCGACGCCGCGUGUGGGAUGAAGUCCUUCGGGAUGUAAACCACUGUCAGGGGCAAGAAAGUUCUGAUCUGCCCCAGAGGAAGGCACGGCUAACUCUGUGCCAGCAGCCGCGGUAAGACAGAGGUGCCAAGCGUUAGGCGGAAUCACUGGGCUUAAAGCGUGUGUAGGCGGAUCGUUAAGUGCUUUGUGAAAUCCCACGGCUCAACCGUGGAACUGCUUGGCAUACUGGCGAUCUUGAGCUGCCUAGGGGUCACUGGAACAAACGGUGGAGCGGUGAAAUGCGUAGAUAUCGGGAGGAAUACCAGUGGUGAAGACGGCUUUCUGGUCUGUUACUGACGCUGAGGAGCGAAAGCCAGGGGAGCGAACC
rnacentral:rRNA from 1 species